rnacentral:rRNA from 1 species
AUUGAACGCUGGCGGCAGGCCUAACACAUGCAAGUCGAGCGGUAGCACAGGGAGCUUGCUCCUGGGUGACGAGCGGCGGACGGGUGAGUAAUGUCUGGGAAACUGCCUGAUGGAGGGGGAUAACUACUGGAAACGGUAGCUAAUACCGCAUAACGUCUUCGGACCAAAGAGGGGGACCUUCGGGCCUCUUGCCAUCAGAUGUGCCCAGAUGGGAUUAGCUAGUAGGUGAGGUAAUGGCUCACCUAGGCGACGAUCCCUAGCUGGUCUGAGAGGAUGACCAGCCACACUGGAACUGAGACACGGUCCAGACUCCUACGGGAGGCAGCAGUGGGGAAUAUUGCACAAUGGGCGCAAGCCUGAUGCAGCCAUGCCGCGUGUAUGAAGAAGGCCUUCGGGUUGUAAAGUACUUUCAGCGAGGAGGAAGGCAUUGUGGUUAAUAACCGCAGUGAUUGACGUUACUCGCAGAAGAAGCACCGGCUAACUCCGUGCCAGCAGCCGCGGUAAUACGGAGGGUGCAAGCGUUAAU